CUUUUAUGGAGAGUUUGAUCCUGGCUCAGGACGAACGCUGGCGGCGUGCCUAAUACAUGCAAGUCGAGCGGUCCCUUCGGGGAUAGCGGCGGACGGGUGAGUAACACGUAGGCAACCUGCCUUCAAGACUGGGAUAACUAUCGGAAACGAUAGCUAAGACCGGAUAGCUGGUUUUCUCGCAUGAGAG
rnacentral:rRNA from 1 species